GAGAACUGUGGCAAAUGAUAAAGGUUUGGACCCCAUUUCUAAACACAAGGGUUAAGUAGUGCAAUUCACCAUCUCCACCAGUAGGAGGCAGCAGUGCACGAACAGGCGUGCAAGUGUGUUGAUGAAGAAGAAAUCUUCCAUAUUGUGGGACAAACCUAACACCAGUUAUAACGACCAGACCUCCUGUUUAAAAAGAAGCCGAAGUUUGAUACCUGAUACAUAUGAGGUAUGUGUCUUAUUAACUUUACAUUUUCUUUGAGAAAAUAACAUUGACUAUGUUCUCUUUCUCUGUAAUGUUAGCUAUGAGCAAUUCAAGCCAAUCCUACCUUGCUGUAAGUUAAUGUUAGCUAAAGUUAUUAAACUCCAUUACUGUAACAUUAGCCCUUAAUAUUAAACAUAUUUUAAAGACAGGCAAAUUGUUUUCCCUCCAAUUUUAAUCUAGCAAAUUAAAAGCUACUAUGUUAGUCAAAGUUAUCCUUUAUGUGCAUUAUUUAGCAACUUGGCUGAUGUGACACAGUUCUUUGCUUUGGCAACUUUAGCCACAUGAAGACCCAGGCUAGCCUAAGGACACAUGGUGGGGGGGGGACAAAGUUGACUAAUGAAGACCUGCUAUGAGUGUGGAGGAUGGUAAUAAGGACCAGCCACCAGAGAAAGAAGUCCCUAUUUGACCAAAGAGAAAGAAGCAGAUGAAAUAUUUCCCAAGAAAAUUGGUGACCACAAUGAAUUGAGUCAUCACCGACUACGAGAAUGUCCAGAAGAGAUUCACCAAGUUUGAAUUCAUGAAAAGGCUUUCACCAUGAUUAACUAUUGCAAGAACAGCUGUAAUUUCUGAGGAUUUCUGGACACCUUAAAAGAGCUGCUUCCAGGAAAUGAAGACAAGAGGAAGAUCUCAUGUUUUCAGAGCAUUACAGGAAGACUAUUACGAAGGAGAUGGCUGACAUAAUAAAAGCAAAAAACAUUA